AAAAUAAUCAUGGUGAUCUUCUUGAAAACAAAAAGAAUUCCUUGAAAGAAAAUUUUGUGAAAGAAAAUUGUUCUCUAGUAUCAAUUCUUACAAAAGUAGGGUGGGGUGUUGUAUCUAUUCAAUUUAGUGGUAUCUAACUUCAAGUUUUUUUACUCACUUACCAGAAAUGCCACCAUCCACCUUUUAACCAGGCCACGUUAUAACCUUUAAAAGUCCUCUAAUGUGUGUGCUCAUGACAUGGUGAUUGAUUUUUGAGAAUGUCUGCAAAUUUAUAGCAGUCUAGUUAUGAUGUGUUGAUUGAGUGAUUAUAUUACCCUUAAACAGGAGAGUCGGUGAGGGUGUGAAGAGAUUAAGUAUGGUCAAUCUUUGUUUGAUGCUCUUUGUUUUGCCUAAAUUUGAAACUGUGUGUAUUUGAAUCAUGACGAAAUUGAUCAUUGAAAUAUUAUGCAAAUUAUGUCUAACUUGAUUAGGUUUGAGUUUGUCUAGCCAAAUGGAUUGAGGUAGUUUUUUGUUUUCUUAGAGAUUGAGAUAUUCCUUGAGGACAAGGAAAAGUUCAAGUUUGGGGUUGUGAUGACGUUAGUCAUUACAUGGAAAUAAAGACCAUUUUCAAGUGUUUUUAGAGGUUUUUGACCUAAAUCAUGAAGAAUAAGACAUUGAUUUGAAGCUACAUGCAAAGGAAGAUAGCAGAUGAAAAUUUGUGGAAUUUGUAGUAUUUUUGCGCCUGGGGCGGAAUUAUUUGCGCCUGGGGCGGAAACAU
rnacentral:lncRNA from 1 species